rnacentral:lncRNA from 1 species
GAAAGAGUUUGGGGAGCGAGCGCCUCGGGCUUCCCCGGAGGCGAGUUUUCACCCCCGCCAGAGGAAGAGCGCCCAACUGCGCCAUUAGCGCGUGCGAGGGAAAAUGGAGGCUCCUGGUCCCACCCGCGCACCGGCGCCUGCGCCCUGGACGCCCACCCCGGCCCGCGAGGCGGCCACGGCCGGAGAGAGAGGGCAAGGGGAUCAGUGCCGUGUCGCGCCCCACCCUGCGCCCGAGCGCAGUGCCGGCGAGCCCGGCUCCGGCCUUGAGAGUCCGCUCCAGGCCGCUCCACACCACGAGCCGCUCCGCAAGUUUGCAGCGCUCCGUGCUUUCCCUCCAGCCCUUUGUGUUCUAGCGCGCGUCGGAAGGAACGCGGGAACGCGCGCCAUGCUGUGCGCCUGCGCAAGGGGGCAGGCGGUGCGCCAGGCCUGGAGUCAAGAGUGGGCGAGGCUCCCGGCGCGCGGCCUCCGCGUGAUGGACGCCCGGAAGCCGGCACAACAAAUGCCCAAGCGCCAGGGCUUCGCUGUCUGCAGGUCCUUCCGCUGCCCGCGGAGCGAAGAUGGCGCCUAGAGCUUGCGGCGUUGCCCAAGUUCCGGGUGUGCACGGACACGUGCAUUCAGGAAUGUAGUGGUUCACAGGAGCCGCUGUUUGCGCGGCCCGGGGAUGUACGUGGACCCGCGAGUGCUAGCCCCGCCUCUGCUGUCUGUGGCCCGCGAACACGAUCUUGUUUCCGGCCUGUUUUGGAUUCAUUUGCACUUGCCCAGUUUACAUGCAAAGCAUAAUCUGCCGACCACCCCAAGCAAUUUUUAACCUUUCCUUCGUUCUUUAUUCACUGAUUUUUUGGCUCCUGCCCUGGACCCAACUUUGCACUUGGGCGCACACAGUGAUAGUGACUCAGAGCAUGAAGCCAGUGGGAGAAACGCCUAGAAAUAGGCAGUUAGGACAACCUGAGACCACUGUGAAGGAGGCGCAUGGCUUGUCAAUGACAGGGGAAGCGGCCUGGAGGAAGCCGUGAGCCGAGACCAGGGCAUGGGGUAGAGGGAAUGGGGUAAUGGGCCCAGGACUGUUUGGGGAGGCAUUCAGUCUCACUUGAGAGGAUGGUGGGUGGAAGCAGAGAAGGCAGGUCAUGGAGAGGAGAGUGUGUGGGGAAGGGACCUGUUGGUGAGGCUCAGGGGGCAGAAGACUUGGGCAGGCGUCUGAAGUGAGAGCUCGCAGGGACUGGCCUCCCUAGGGAGCAGUGGGGAGAAGCAGCUGGGGCCUGGGGGUAGAGCCCGUGUGCCCACUGUUGACACCUUCGUGGGCUACUGCUUCUCGUGGCUUCUGUGUGGAGCACAGGCCUCUUUCCGGGAGAGGGACUCGGACUGCAGGCUCCAGCCCUGCACUGCCAUGAAAGGCCUGGGCAGGUUGUCUGCGUAAGAACAGUACCUCUGGUGGUGGAAAUGGAGGGAGACGCCACGGCACAGAGGACCUGUCCCAGACACGCGGGAUGGCAAGCAUCAGAGCUGGAGUGACUGCCGAGGUCCCACAAGGCUCCAGAGGCAGCUCCCCAUCCCACCCCACUCCUGAGCAGGCGGCCAGAGCUGCCCCCUCUGCAUGCCACGCUGGGCAAGGGGUCCAUGCCUGGGAAACACCUGGUGGGGAAUGCUCUGGCCUCAAGAAUAAACAACAGGGAUCUAGACGAUGCCACCGUCCUCAGCCUCUGACCUCCAAAGGAGCCACAUUCAAGAGAAGGGAGGUCCCUCCACAAAUGAGACAGCAGAAGAAUAAAUGCCACCCUGUGCCUGCCGACUUCCUGUGGAGGUCUGUGGGCUCGUGUAAAUAAUUGAAGGGAAAACUUCAGAAGGAAGGCAGCCCACGGGAGCCUGGCCUUGCCCGCCAGAAAGCAGGUUAUAAAAUGUUUCCCAUGUAAGUGGUGGCUGGGGGUAGUCAGGAGGCCUAGUUACAACCCCGAGAAGUAAGGCUGCUCUGGGCUCCCAGGGGAAACACUGGGCUGGGUGGGUGGGCACUCUUCAGGGAGUAGAUCCCUCCCGGCCACCCCCAGCUCCUAGUCUCUUGGGUGUGGCAGCUUCAAGAUCUCAAAGCCCAAUCGCCGAGCCCGGUGGUUUCCAAUGUGUCCUACCCUCCCUCCUGCUGCACAUGCAGCUUGCAUUGCUGGGGAGUAAGGGGAGAUGAUUUCCGGCCAGCACAGGCAAAGCCAGGCAGGGUGUCCCCUGAGGCGGUGCAGCAGGAGGACCACCGAGUGUGGCCC